CUGAGUGAGGGCCCUCUGGGUCCAACCUCCCACCCGUGUUUAUUAUACCUUGUUGCUUCGGUGAGCCCGCCUCACGGCCGCCGGGGGCUAUCUGCCCCGGGCCCGCGUCCACCGAAGACACCUAGAACUCUGUAUGAAGAUUGCAGUCUGAGCGAAAACUAAAUAAGUUA
rnacentral:misc_RNA from 1 species